rnacentral:lncRNA from 1 species
AGGAUCCCAUCGCCAUCCGCCUCCUCCUCCUCCUCCUCCUCUCCCCGACGACGACGACGAUGGCGACGACGGCGACGCGCUAACGCGCGCGCUCGCGGACGCCGAGGUCCGCGCGGUGUCGAUCCGCGCAAGCAGGAACCUGUUCGAGGGCGGCACGGGCUGCCACGCCUGGCGCGCGGGGUUCCACCUCGCGGAGAUGAUCAUGAGGUGCGUUCUGUCUCACACUGGUCCCCGUACGACCGCGUCGGCGUGGUGAACGCCGAUCCUUAAGGACUUUUGCCACCAUUUCUCUCCGCCCACACCUCGCUUUCAAUCCCCGUCCUCGGCGCCUUUCAACUUCACCUGACGCCUUUCAACUGCACCCCGACAUUCGCUCGUAUGGACCCUCGACCCUGAGGCGACCCGCGCUCUUCGCGUCGAGAGAGAUUCGACACGUGAUGGAGCUCGGCGCCGGCGUCGGCGUCGUCGGCGUCGUUCUCGCGCGAUGCAUGCGAGACUACACGCGCGCGUGCACGACGGUUGAGGGGGAUACGGAACGUCAACCGGCGCGGAGUAGGAGGCUGACGCUGACGCUGCAGGAGAAGGACGACGACGCCGUCGCCAACUUGACGGGGAACCUUCGGCGGAACGGCGUCGCGCGCCGACGCGCGGAGACUACUUUAGUCGGACAUGAUAUGCUGUCGGACAGAGAGUGUCGGACGGCGGCGGCGGCGGGCGACGAGGGUAGAUACUCAUACGACGGGGACGACGACGCGGGCGUGGACGUUCGCGUCGUGAAGUUCGACUGGGAGUGUCGGACGAACGACGAAGCGCUCCGAGAGACGAAGCCGGACCUGGCGCGUUCAGUUUAUUAUUCUUUCGCCCUCCCCCCGGUUUCGAACGCGACGCGAUGCCGAUCGACUGACCGACUGACCGACGCCAAUCCGUCUGAUCGUCUCGUUCAAACCAGGUGAUCGCCGCGGACGUGUGUUACGACCCCGCGCUGUUCCCCGGACUCCUGGCCACGCUGCGCGCGCUGUCGUCGGACCGCGCCGCGCUUCAGGAUACGGAAUCCGAAGCGUCGUCGCGGGGAUACGAACCGCCGUUCGCGCUCAU